UAAUGCGAAUUGCAGAAUUCCAGUGAGUCAUCGAAUCUUUGAACGCACAUUGCGCCCUUUGGUAUUCCGAAGGGCAUGCCUGUUCGAGCGUCAUUAUCACCCCUCAAGACUACUUUGCGGUGGUUUUGGUGUUGGACGGUUUGGUUGAGCUCUUGCUUAAACCCCUCCUAAAGACAAUGACGGCGGACUUGUGGAACCCCCGGUACACUGAGCCUCUUAACUGAGCACGUAUCGGAUCAAGGGUGCCCGGGCCCCGGUCUACUCCCUUGAAUGGGAAAAUCUUUCUCAAGGUUGACCUCGGAUCAGGUAGGGAUACCCGCUGAACUUAAGCAUAUCAAUAAGCGGAGGAAAAGAAACCAACAGGGAUUGCCUCAGUAACGGCGAGUGAAGCGGCAACAGCUCAAAUUUGAAAUCUGGCCUCUCGGGGUCCGAGUUGUAAUUUGUAGAGGAUGUUUCGGGUACCGCUCCGGUUUAAAUUUCUUGGAACAGAAUGUCAGAGAGGGUGAGAAUCCCGUCUUGGACCGGUGGUAGGGCCUAUGUGAAACUCCUUCGACGAGUCGAGUUGUUUGGGAAUGCAGCUCAAAAUGGGUGGUAAAUUUCAUCUAAAGCUAAAUAUUGGCCAGAGACCGAUAGCGCACAAGUAGAGUGAUCGAAAGAUGAAAAGCACUUUGAAAAGAGAGUUAAACAGUAUGUGAAAUUGUUGAAAGGGAAGCGCUUGCAACCAGACUUGCGCGCGGUGGUUCCCCCUUCCUUUUGGUUGGGUUAUUCCAUCGUGUCCAGGCCAACAUCGGUUUUGGGGGUCGGUUAAAGGCUCUGGGAAUGUAUCUACCCUUCGGGCGUAGACUUAUAGCCCAGAGUGUCAUGCGACCUCCCGGGACCGAGGACGCGCUUCGGCUCGGAUGUUGGCGUAAUG
rnacentral:rRNA from 1 species